AUUCUCAAUUACGGGCCGUCCCCAUACCCCGUCCGGUAUGAGGGUAAAGCGAGCCAUCCUCAUACCCCGUAUAGUAUGAACGCCAAAUUAUCAAGUCUCCAUACCCUGUUCGGUAUGAGACAACGUUCACGGUAGGGUUCCCUAUGUCCUCGGUCUAUCCACCAUAUCUUAGAUAUCCAGUAAGGCUACCGUUCAUUUAUUAAUU
rnacentral:lncRNA from 1 species